GAAGUGGUGGGUAAUACUGUAUAAUCCCUGCGGGGGAAAGAUUUAUCGCUACAUGAUGAGCCUAUGUUAGAUUAGCUAGUUGGUGGGGUAAUGGCCUACCAAGGCAGUGAUCUAUAGCUGGUCUGAGAGGAUGAUCAGCCACACUGGAACUGAGACACGGUCCAGACUCCUACGGGAGGCAGCAGUGGGGAAUAUUGGACAAUGGGCGCAAGCCUGAUCCAGCUAUGCCGCGUGAGUGAGGAAGGCCUUAGGGUUGUAAAACUCUUUCAGUGGGGAAGAUAAUGACGGUACCCACAGAAGAAGUCCCGGCAAACUCCGUGCCAGCAGCCGCGGUAAUACGGAGGGGGCAAGCGUUGUUCGGAAUUAUUGGGCGUAAAGGGCAUGUAGGUGGUUUGGUAAGUUAAAGGUGAAAUGCCAGGGCUUAACCCUGGAGCUGCUUUUAAUACUGCCAGACUGGAGUCCGGGAGAGGAUAGCGGAAUUCCUAG
rnacentral:rRNA from 1 species